GAUGAACGCUGGCGGCGUGCCUAAUACAUGCAAGUCGAGCGAACGGACGAGAAGCUUGCUUCUCUGAUGUUAGCGGCGGACGGGUGAGUAACACGUGGAUAACCUACCUAUAAGACUGGGAUAACUUCGGGAAACCGGAGCUAAUACCGGAUGAUAUUUUGAACCGCAUGGUUCAAAAGUGAAAGACGGUCUUGCUGUCACGUAUAGAUGGAUCCGCGCUGCAUUAGCUAGUUGGUAAGGUAACGGCUUACCAAGGCAACGAUGCAUAGCCGACCUGAGAGGGUGAUCGGCCACACUGGAACUGAGACACGGUCCAGACUCCUACGGGAGGCACCAGUAGGGAAUGUUCCGCAAUGGGCGGAAGCCUGACGGAGCAACGCCGCGUGAGUGAUGAAGGUCUUCGGAUCGUAAAACUCUGUUAUUAGGGAAGAACAUAUGUGUACGUAACUGUGCACAUCUUGACGGUACCUAAUCAGAAAGCCACGGCUAACUACGUG
rnacentral:rRNA from 1 species